rnacentral:rRNA from 1 species
UGGAGCAUGUGGUUUAAUUCGAUGCAACGCGAAGAACCUUACCUGGUCUUGACAUCCACAGAACUUAGCAGAGAUGCUUUGGUGCCUUCGGGAACUGUGAGACAGGUGCUGCAUGGCUGUCGUCAGCUCGUGUUGUGAAAUGUUGGGUUAAGUCCCGCAACGAGCGCAACCCUUAUCCUUUGUUGCCAGCGGUUAGGCCGGGAACUCAAAGGAGACUGCCAGUGAUAAACUGGAGGAAGGUGGGGAUGACGUCAAGUCAUCAUGGCCCUUACGACCAGGGCUACACACGUGCUACAAUGGCGCAUACAAAGAGAAGCGACCUCGCGAGAGCAAGCGGACCUCAUAAAGUGCGUCGUAGUCCGGAUUGGAGUCUGCAACUCGACUCCAUGAAGUCGGAAUCGCUAGUAAUCGUGGAUCAGAAUGCCACGGUGAAUACGUUCCCGGGCCUUGUACACACCGCCCGU